GAUGAACGCUGGCGGCGUGCCUAAUACAUGCAAGUCGAGCGAACAGACGAGGAGCUUGCUCCUCUGACGUUAGCGGCGGACGGGUGAGUAACACGUGGAUAACCUACCUAUAAGACUGGGAUAACUUCGGGAAACCGGAGCUAAUACCGGAUAAUAUAUUGAACCGCAUGGUUCAAUAGUGAAAGACGGUUUUGCUGUCACUUAUAGAUGGAUCCGCGCCGCAUUAGCUAGUUGGUAAGGUAACGGCUUACCAAGGCAGCGAUGCGUAGCCGACCUGAGAGGGUGAUCGGCCACACUGGAACUGAGACACGGUCCAGGCUCCUACGGGAGGCAGCAGUAGGGAAUCUUCCGCAAUGGGCGAAAGCCUGACGGAGCAACGCCGCGUGAGUGAUGAAGGUCUUCGGAUCGUAAAACUCUGUUAUUAGGGAAGAACAAAUGUGUAAGUAACUAUGCACGUCUUGACGGUACCUAAUCAGAAAGCCACGGCUAACUACGUG
rnacentral:rRNA from 1 species